rnacentral:rRNA from 1 species
GUAAUGGAUGCUUCGGAUGCUAUAUCGAUGAAGAGCACAUCUACUGGCGGUUGGC